AUUGAACGCUGGCGGCACGCCUAACACAUGCAAGUUGAACGGCAGCACGGAUAGGGUAACCUAUUGGGUGGCGAGUAGCGAACGGGUGAGUAACGCGUAGGAAUAUGUCUUAUAGACUGGGACAACUUGUGGAAACGCAAGCUAAUACCGGAUGAGUUCUGAGGAAGAAAGGCUGGGGACCUGAGAGGGCCUGGAGCUAUGAGGGUAGCCUGCGUCCGAUUAGCUAGUUGGUGGGGUAAAGGCCUACCAAGGCGAGGAUCGGUAGCUGGUAUGAGAGGAUGGACAGCCACACUGGGACUGAGACACGGCCCAGACUCCUACGGGAGGCAGCAGUGGGGAAUAUUGGACAAUGGGGGCAACCCUGAUCCAGCGAUGCCGCGUGUGUGAAGAAGGCCUGAGGGUUGUAAAGCACUUUCAGUUGGGAGGAGAGUAUGUUUGUUAAGAGCUGACAUAUGAGACGUUACCGACAUAAGAAGCACCGGCUAACUCCGUGCCAGCAGCCGCGGUAAAAC
rnacentral:rRNA from 1 species